rnacentral:rRNA from 1 species
GCAAGUCGUGCGAGUAGUUUACUACUAGCGGCGAACGGGUGAGUAACACCUAUCUAACCUACCCAUCAGAAUGUAAUUACACCGAGAGAUUGGUGCUAAUGCCGGAUAGCUAAUAUUUACUUAUGUUUAUAUUACUAAAGGCGCGUUUGCGCCGCUGAUGAAUGGGGAUGCGCAGCAUUAGAUAGUUGGUAGGGUAAAGGCCUACCAAGUCAACGAUGCUUAGCCGGCCUGAGAGGGUGAUC